AGAGUUUGAUCAUGGCUCAGAAUCAACGCUGGCGGCGUGCCUAACACAUGCAAGUCGAACGCGAAAGUGGAGCAAUCCAUGAGUAGAGUGGCAAACGGGUGAGUAACACGUGGGUGACCUGCCUUCGAGCGGGGGAUAACGUCCCGAAAGGGACGCUAAUACCGCAUAACAUCCUGCUUUUGAAGAAGUGGAGAUCAAAGCUGGCGCAAGCUAGCACUCGAAGAGGGGCCCGCGUCCGAUUAGCUAGUUGGUGAGGUAACGGCUCACCAAGGCAACGAUCGGUAGCCGGCCUGAGAGGGCGGACGGCCACACUGGGACUGAGACACGGCCCAGACUCCUACGGGAGGCAGCAGUGGGGAAUUGUUCGCAAUGGGCGCAAGCCUGACGACGCAACGCCGCGUGGAGGAUGAAGAUCUUCGGGUCGUAAACUCCUUUCGAUCGAGACGAACGACUCCUGGGCUAAUCACCAGGAGAGUGACGGUACCGAGAGAAGAAGCCCCGGCUAACUCCGUGCCAGCAGCCGCGGUAAUACGGGGGGGGGCAAGCGUUGUUCGGAAUUACUGGGCGUAAAGGGGCUCGUAGGCGGCCAACUAAGUCAGACGUGAAAUCCCUCGGCUUAACCGGGGAACUGCGUCUGAUACUGGAUGGCUCGAGUUUGGGAGAGGGAUGCGGAAUUCCAGGUGUAGCGGUGAAAUGCGUAGAUAUCUGGAGGAACACCGGUGGCGAAGGCGGCAUCCUGGACCAACACUGACGCUGAGUGAGCGAAAGCCAGGGGAGCAAACGGGAUUAGAUACCCUAGUAGUCC
rnacentral:rRNA from 1 species